ACAGAUUCGUUCAGAGUUUGAUCCUGGCUCAGGACAACGCUGGCGGCGUGCUUAAUACAUGCAAGUCGAGCGAGGUUACUGCAUCAGAUUCCUUCGGGAUGAAGAAGCUUUAACCUAGCGGCGGACGGGUGAGUAACGCGUGGGUAACCUGCCCUAGAGAUCGGGAUAACAGCGGGAAACUGCUGCUAAUACCGGAUGUCUCUACGAGAAGGCAUCUUUUAGUAGAGAAAGCAAUAGCGCUCUAGGAUGGGCCCGCGUCCCAUUAGCUAGUUGGUGAGGUAACGGCUCACCAAGGCGACGAUGGGUAGCCGGCCUGAGAGGGUGGACGGCCACACUGGGACUGAGACACGGCCCAG
rnacentral:rRNA from 1 species